UACGGAGGGUGCGAGCGCUGUCCGGAAUCAUUGGGCGUAAAGGGCGCGUAGGUGGCGGGACAAGCGUGCGGUGAAAGCCUGGGGCUCAACCCCGGGUCGGCCGUGCGAACUGUUUUGCUUGAGCACUGUAGAGGCAGGCGGAAUUCCGGGUGUAGCGGUGGAAUGCGUAGAGAUCCGGAGGAACCCCAGAGGCGAAGGCGGCGCCCUGGCCCGACACUGACGCUCAGGCACGACAGCAUGGGGAGCGAACGGG
rnacentral:rRNA from 1 species